rnacentral:rRNA from 1 species
CCUACGGGAGGCAGCAGUGAGGAAUAUUGGUCAAUGGACGCAAGUCUGAACCAGCCAUGCCGCGUGCAGGAAGACGGCUCUAUGAGUUGUAACCUGCUUUUGUACGAGGGUAAACGCAGAUACGCGUAUCUGUCUGAAAGUAUCGUACGAAUAAGGAUCGGCUAACUCCGUGCCAGCAGCCGCGGUAAUACGGAGGAUUCAAGCGUUAUCCGGAUUUAUUGGGUUUAAAGGGUGCGUAGGCGGUCGGAUAAGUUAGAGGUGAAAUCCCGAGGCUCAACUUCGGAAUUGCCUCUGAUACUGUUCGGCUAGAGAGUAGGUGCGGUAGGCGGAAUGCAUGGUGUAGCGGUGAAAUGCUUAGAGAUCAGACAGAACACCGAUUGCGAAGGCAGCUUACCAAGCUACUUCUGACGUUGAGGCACGAAAGCGUGGGGAGCAAACAGGAUUGGAUACCCCAGUAGUC